UACAGAGGUCUCAAGCGUUGUUCGUAUUCAUUGGGCGUAAAGGGUGCGUAGGCGGCGCGGUAAGUCGGGUGUGAAAUCUCGGAGCUUAACUCCGAAACUGCAUUCGAUACUGCCGUGCUUGAGGACUGGAGAGGAGACUGGAAUUUACGGUGUAGCGGUGAAAUGCGUAGAUAUCGUAAGGAAGACCAGUGGCGAAGGCGGGUCUCUGGACAGUUCCUGACGCUGAGGCACGAAGGCCAGGGGAGCAAACGGG
rnacentral:rRNA from 1 species